rnacentral:rRNA from 1 species
UACGGGGGGGGCAAGCGUUGUUCGGAAUUACUGGGCGUAAAGGGCUCGUAGGCGGCCAACUAAGUCGGAUGUGAAAUCCCCAGGCUUAACCUGGGAACUGCAUCCGAUACUGGAUGGCUUGAAUCCGGGAGAGGGAUGCAGAAUUCCAGGUGUAGCGGUGAAAUGCGUAGAUAUCUGGAGGAAUACCGGUGGCGAAGGCGGCAUCCUGGACCGGCAUUGACGCUGAGGGAGCGAAAAGCUAGGGGAGCAAACGGG